rnacentral:sRNA from 1 species
ACUUGUCGGGGAAGGGUGAGAACCUUCGAUUAAGGUUCGACUCGAGCGAAAGCGAGAGAACGUUGCCAACGGCAACGGCCCGUAGGGUGAGGAGCGAAGCGACGAAUAAUCCUUCCCCCACCACCA